AUCCUAGCUAAAAAUUUUAAUUUAUAGACGUGAUUAUAUACAAAUUUUAGUGUUUAUUUAUUAUGUUGUAUACCAACAUUUUAAGAUUAAAUUAUUGAGUUGUAAUAUAGAGAUUUAAAUAUAAAGGUUGCUUUGAUUUAGGGAUUUAUAAUAAUGUUGAUAAAAUUUGUGCCAGCAAUUGCGGUUAUACAGAUGACGUGAUUAAAUUUGUUCGGUUUGUAAUAAUUUAGAUUAUUUUUAUUAAGACUUAACCUUAUUAGGUGAAAUUUCUAAGGUUGAAAAAGAUUUUAUUAUAAGUAAUGAAGUUAUGAGGUUUUUAUGAUAGACUAGGAUUAGAUACCCUAUUAUUGAAAAUGCAAAUUUUGUGUGCCGGAUUAUUAGUAGCUACGUUCUUGAAAUUUAAAGGAUCUGGCGGUACUUUAGUCUAUUCAGAGGAACCUGUCCUGUAAUUGAUAAUCCACGAUUAAUUAAACUUGUUUUUAGUUUGUAUAUCGUCGUAGGUUGAAUGUUUUAAGAGAAAAGGGAAUGUUCAGGAUUUAUAUUAAUAUAAAGGAAAUCAGAUCAAGAUACAGCGUGAUAAACAAGAAGAGAUGGGUUACAAUAAGUUUACUUAAAUGGUUAAAGUUCUUAACAGGAUUUUAUAAAUUGGAUUUGAUAGUAAUAUGAUUAAGUUAAAUUGUAUGAUUAAGGCUCUAGAGUAUGCACAUAUCGCCCGUCGCUCCUUCUCUAAGGAAGGAUAAGUCGUAACAUAGUAGGUGUACUGGAAGGUGUACCUAGAAUGA
rnacentral:ncRNA from 1 species